UUGUGUGAGAGAUAAAGUGAGGCAGCUACCCAAGGCCCCAUGAAUUAACAUUAUAAAAUAUGUAAUAACUUCUUUUGCAUUUCCCAAACUUAGAAGGUAUUAAAAUAAUACUGUUCCAUGAAUUCUGAUUCCUAAGCCAGUUCAUGAUAAACUAAAAUCUUCAUUGGUCUGUCAUGUUUUCAUCGUUAUUCAUUAUUACUACAUCCAAAUUACUUCAAGGUUUCAAACCCUAUAUUUACCACUUAACCUGGCAACAGAGAGGCACAACAAUGUUGCCAACAAAGUAACCAUAUUCUUACAGAAACCAAAAGUAGUAGUUUUCAGACAAACAUAUAAACUAGUACAUUGAAAUCUGUUUUCUGUCUGUUAAGAAGAGAUUCGAUGUACUUUAUAUAAAAACUGCAGUUACAGCUCUUACUCAGUGGAUCUUUAAUUCUUGAAAGACCUUGGCCACCUCAGAUGUGUGAGGCUUCUUAACCUAUUCAGACAUUUGACAGGACUCCAUGGACGAGUGAUCAGCCCGUCGCAAGGCCCCUACCUACACAGGACAGAGAUGCAGACAGAUAUCUGUGUCUUGGGUGGGAUUCAAACCCACGAUCCCAGUGUCUGAGCAAUGAUCAUCUAUGCCCCAGACUAUGUUGCUGUCGUAACCCGCACAAUUAACAUAAGUCAGUGCCAGCCGUUUCUGGGCUCCGAGCCUCCAGGCACGGCUGCUUGGCCUUAUAAGGACAAACACGGAGUUCGCUCGGCCUACGCGGGGCACUGACCUUCGAACACCUGACAGAAGACCGUGGCUACGUUUGCAAGACACGAGUGAGUUCAACUUGCACUCAACGACUCUGUGAACUAACUUUACAUAGGGAAGAAAUGGAUCGACAAACGGGAAUGUGUUUUAAAAAAACAUGAAAGAGAAACAAAGAAUCGUGGCCGCGAACCAUCAGUAAUACAGAACAUGAUGUACGCCCGGGCUAAUCGUCCAUGUUAACGGUGUUAGCCGGGCUAAGACGGCUAACUUUGGAAAAACUAAAAUAGAAAGUCGUCUCUCCUACUUUUGUGGCUCGGUGCUACCUGGGCAGAGCUGGCUAACAAUACAUUUUAUUUAAAUGGUUCCGCUGUGUUCCAAUCAAUUUCCGUCCCACUAAACCACGAAAGUAAGAUAGAAGACUUUUUCUUUGAUUUUCAGUGUUGUCUGUACUGACAUGAUAGAUAUGGAACAUCAGAAUAUAACGAAAAUGAGACAUGGCAAAAAUAAUGUUACAGGAAAAUAAACACAUGGGAAGAACAUGACAAAG